GUGCCAGCCGCCGCGGUAAUACGUAAGUGGCGAGCGUUAUCCGGAAUUACUGGGCGUAAAGCGUGCGUAGGCGGUUUAGUGUGUGGGAAUUGAAAGCCCGGGGCUCAACUCCGGAUCCGGUUCCCAAACUGCUAGACUCGAGCGUAUCAGAGGACAGUGGAAUUCCCGGUGUAGCGGUAAUAUGCGUAGAUAUCGGGAGGAACACCAGUGGCGAAGGCGACUGUCUGGGGUAUUGCUGACGCUGAGGCACGAAAGCCAGGGGAGCGAACGGGAUUAGAAACCCCCGUAGUCC
rnacentral:rRNA from 1 species